AUUGAACGCUGGCGGCAGGCCUAACACAUGCAAGUCGAACGAGUGGCGGACGGGUGAGUAAUGUCUGGGAAACUGCCUGAUGGAGGGGGAUAACUACUGGAAACGGUAGCUAAUACCGCAUACCAUCAGAUGUGCCCAGAUGGGAUUAGCUAGUUGGUGGGGUAACGGCUCACCAAGGCGACGAUCCCUAGCUGGUCUGAGAGGAUGACAAGCCACACUGGAACUGAGAAACGGGCCAGACUCCUACGGGAGGAAGCAGUGGGGAAGAUUGCACAAGGGGCGAAAGCCUGAUGCAGCCAUGCCGCGUGUAUGAAGAAGGCCGUCGGGUUGUAAAGUACUGUCAGCGGGGAGGCGUUACCCGCAGAAGAAGCACCGGCUAACUCCGUGCCAGCAGACGCGGUAAUAC
rnacentral:rRNA from 1 species